GCUGGGCUCAGUGAUGAAUGCCUGCAGUCCCAGCUACUCAGGAGACUGAGGUGGAAGGGCCACUUGGGUCCAGGAGUUCCGGGCUGUAGUGCACUAUGCCAACUGGGUGACUACAGUAAGUUUGGUGUCAAUAAGGUGACCUCCCGGGGAGCGGGGGACCACCAGGUUGCCUGUGGAGAGGUAAACUGGCCCACAUCAGAAACGGAGCAGGUCAAAACUCUUGUGCUGAUUAGUAGUGGGAUCGCACCUGUGAAUAGCCACUGUGUUCCAGCCUGGGCAACAUACAGGGACCGCU
rnacentral:SRP_RNA from 1 species